rnacentral:rRNA from 2 species
UUAAGCGACUAAGCGUACACGGUGGAUGCCCUGGCAGUCAGAGGCGAUGAAGGACGUGCUAAUCUGCGAUAAGCGUCGGUAAGGUGAUAUGAACCGUUAUAACCGGCGAUUUCCGAAUGGGGAAACCCAGUGUGAUUCGUCACACUAUCAUUAACUGAAUCCAUAGGUUAAUGAGGCGAACCGGGGGAACUGAAACAUCUAAGUACCCCGAGGAAAAGAAAUCAACCGAGAUUCCCCCAGUAGCGGCGAGCGAACGGGGAGGAGCCCAGAGCCUGAAUCAGUGUGUGUGUUAGUGGAAGCGUCUGGAAAGGCGCGCGAUACAGGGUGACAGCCCCGUACACAAAAAUGCACAUGCUGUGAGCUCGAUGAGUAGGGCGGGACACGUGGUAUCCUGUCUGAAUAUGGGGGGACCAUCCUCCAAGGCUAAAUACUCCUGACUGACCGAUAGUGAACCAGUACCGUGAGGGAAAGGCGAAAAGAACCCCGGCGAGGGGAGUGAAAAAGAACCUGAAACCGUGUACGUACAAGCAGUGGGAGCACAGAGCAAUCUGUGUGACUGCGUACCUUUUGUAUAAUGGGUCAGCGACUUAUAUUCUGUAGCAAGGUUAACCGAAUAGGGGAGCCGAAGGGAAACCGAGUCUUAACUGGGCGUUAAGUUGCAGGGUAUAGACCCGAAACCCGGUGAUCUAGCCAUGGGCAGGUUGAAGGUUGGGUAACACUAACUGGAGGACCGAACCGACUAAUGUUGAAAAAUUAGCGGAUGACUUGUGGCUGGGGGUGAAAGGCCAAUCAAACCGGGAGAUAGCUGGUUCUCCCCGAAAGCUAUUUAGGUAGCGCCUCGUGAAUUCAUCUCCGGGGGUAGAGCACUGUUUCGGCAAGGGGGUCAUCCCGACUUACCAACCCGAUGCAAACUGCGAAUACCGGAGAAUGUUAUCACGGGAGACACACGGCGGGUGCUAACGUCCGUCGUGAAGAGGGAAACAACCCAGACCGCCAGCUAAGGUCCCAAAGUCAUGGUUAAGUGGGAAACGAUGUGGGAAGGCCCAGACAGCCAGGAUGUUGGCUUAGAAGCAGCCAUCAUUUAAAGAAAGCGUAAUAGCUCACUGGUCGAGUCGGCCUGCGCGGAAGAUGUAACGGGGCUAAACCAUGCACCGAAGCUGCGGCAGCGACGCUUAUGCGUUGUUGGGUAGGGGAGCGUUCUGUAAGCCUGCGAAGGUGUGCUGUGAGGCAUGCUGGAGGUAUCAGAAGUGCGAAUGCUGACAUAAGUAACGAUAAAGCGGGUGAAAAGCCCGCUCGCCGGAAGACCAAGGGUUCCUGUCCAACGUUAAUCGGGGCAGGGUGAGUCGACCCCUAAGGCGAGGCCGAAAGGCGUAGUCGAUGGGAAACAGGUUAAUAUUCCUGUACUUGGUGUUACUGCGAAGGGGGGACGGAGAAGGCUAUGUUGGCCGGGCGACGGUUGUCCCGGUUUAAGCGUGUAGGCUGGUUUUCCAGGCAAAUCCGGAAAAUCAAGGCUGAGGCGUGAUGACGAGGCACUACGGUGCUGAAGCAACAAAUGCCCUGCUUCCAGGAAAAGCCUCUAAGCAUCAGGUAACAUCAAAUCGUACCCCAAACCGACACAGGUGGUCAGGUAGAGAAUACCAAGGCGCUUGAGAGAACUCGGGUGAAGGAACUAGGCAAAAUGGUGCCGUAACUUCGGGAGAAGGCACGCUGAUAUGUAGGUGAAGUCCCUCGCGGAUGGAGCUGAAAUCAGUCGAAGAUACCAGCUGGCUGCAACUGUUUAUUAAAAACACAGCACUGUGCAAACACGAAAGUGGACGUAUACGGUGUGACGCCUGCCCGGUGCCGGAAGGUUAAUUGAUGGGGUCAGCGCAAGCGAAGCUCUUGAUCGAAGCCCCGGUAAACGGCGGCCGUAACUAUAACGGUCCUAAGGUAGCGAAAUUCCUUGUCGGGUAAGUUCCGACCUGCACGAAUGGCGUAAUGAUGGCCAGGCUGUCUCCACCCGAGACUCAGUGAAAUUGAACUCGCUGUGAAGAUGCAGUGUACCCGCGGCAAGACGGAAAGACCCCGUGAACCUUUACUAUAGCUUGACACUGAACAUUGAGCCUUGAUGUGUAGGAUAGGUGGGAGGCUUAGAAGUGUGGACGCCAGUCUGCAUGGAGCCGACCUUGAAAUACCACCCUUUAAUGUUUGAUGUUCUAACGUUGACCCGUAAUCCGGGUUGCGGACAGUGUCUGGUGGGUAGUUUGACUGGGGCGGUCUCCUCCUAAAGAGUAACGGAGGAGCACGAAGGUUGGCUAAUCCUGGUCGGACAUCAGGAGGUUAGUGCAAUGGCAUAAGCCAGCUUGACUGCGAGCGUGACGGCGCGAGCAGGUGCGAAAGCAGGUCAUAGUGAUCCGGUGGUUCUGAAUGGAAGGGCCAUCGCUCAACGGAUAAAAGGUACUCCGGGGAUAACAGGCUGAUACCGCCCAAGAGUUCAUAUCGACGGCGGUGUUUGGCACCUCGAUGUCGGCUCAUCACAUCCUGGGGCUGAAGUAGGUCCCAAGGGUAUGGCUGUUCGCCAUUUAAAGUGGUACGCGAGCUGGGUUUAGAACGUCGUGAGACAGUUCGGUCCCUAUCUGCCGUGGGCGCUGGAGAAUUGAGGGGGGCUGCUCCUAGUACGAGAGGACCGGAGUGGACGCAUCACUGGUGUUCGGGUUGUCAUGCCAAUGGCACUGCCCGGUAGCUAAAUGCGGAAGAGAUAAGUGCUGAAAGCAUCUAAGCACGAAACUUGCC